UACGGGAGGCAGCAGUGGGGAAUAUUGCACAAUGGGCGCAAGCCUGAUGCAGCCAUGCCGCGUGUAUGAAGAAGGCCUUCGGGUUGUAAAGUACUUUCAGUCGUGAGGAAGGUGUUAAGGUUAAUAACCUUAGCAAUUGACGUUAGCGACAGAAGAAGCACCGGCUAACUCCGUGCCAGCAGCCGCGGUAAUACGGAGGGUGCGAGCGUUAAUCGGAAUUACUGGGCGUAAAGGGCACGCAGGCGGUUAAUUAAGUUGGAUGUGAAAUCCCCGGGCUUAACCUGGGAAUGGCAUUCAAGACUGGUUAGCUAGAGUCUUGUAGAGGGGGUAGAAUUCCAUGUGUAGCGGUGAAAUGCGUAGAGAUGUGGAGGAAUACCGGUGGCGAAGGCGGCCCCUGGACAAAGGCUGACGCUCA
rnacentral:rRNA from 1 species